AGCUCAGUGGCACAGCACGUGCCUGACAAGCAUGAGGUUGUGAGUUCAAUUCCUCAU
rfam:Cavia porcellus supercont2_692 genomic scaffold, whole genome shotgun sequence.